ensembl:snRNA U4 U4 spliceosomal RNA
AGCUUUGUGCAGUGGCAGUAUCAUAGCCAAUGAGGUUUAUCCAAGGCGCGAUUAUUGCUAAUUAAAAAAAAUAAUAAAAGCC